AUUGAACGCUGGCGGCAGGCCUAACACAUGCAAGUCGGGCGAGCGGCAGACGGGUGUGUAAUGUAUGGAGAUCUGCCUGAUGGCGGGGGAUAACUACUGGAAACGGUAUCUAAUACCGCAUACCCUCAGAUGCACCCAUAUGGGUUUAGCUAGUGGGUGAGGUAACGGCUUACCUAGGCGACGAUCCCUAGCUGGUCUGAGAGGAUGAUCAGCCACACUGGGACUGAGACACGGCCCAGACUCCUACGGGAGGCAGCGGUGGGGAAUAUUGCACAAUGGGCGCAAGCCUGAUGCAGCCAUGCCGCGUGUAUGAAGAAGGCCUUAGGGUUGUAAAGUACUUUCAGUCGGGAGGCGUUACCGACAGAAGAAGCACCGGCUAACUCCGUGCCAGCAGCCGCGGUAAUAC
rnacentral:rRNA from 1 species